CCCGGCUCGGAGAGUUCACGGGACGAGCCGACGGUCCACCGGCAGCGGAACGUCUCCAUGUUGGUGGAGACGCAACCGGUGACCUGGGGGACACAGGAGCACCCAGGGGCCCGCAGGAGCACCCAGGGGCCACCAGGAGCACCCAGGGGCCCGCAGGAACACCCAGGGGCCACCAGGAGCAACGAUAAACAAUCAUAACUGAACACAACAAACCUUUUUCUGAAGCACCUCACAUAGACAGGGUGUUCCUACAUGCUCGACUCUGCGUACCGGCCCUUUAAGGAGCGAGGGAGCUCUGAGAUCAAUAACUGGUCAGCUGACCACGUCAACAGGUCAGAGAGGAACAACAAGAUGGCUCCUCUGGGAGCAGAUGAAUACCUCGGGGGGGGGGGGGGCUUCGGGGACAGGGAGUCACGGGUUAAAAAUAACCUGUUUACAGAGACCCCCCCACACACACACAUACACACACACACACACACACACACACCCCUCCUCCCCGAACUCUACCCGGCUACGGAUUACGAGAACAUUCAAUUUGACACUCGGCUGUGAGGAACACUCAGGAGGCUCAUUUACCCCAUCUGGACACAUGUGUGUGUGUGAGUGUGUGUGUGUGUGUAUGAGUGUGUGUAAUUACAUAUUAUGCAAUAGUACAUCUAACACCUCACACUCAACACACGACUUUCACCUCUUUCACCGAGGGAAAGUCAACAAGCAGGAGAAGCUUUCAGGUCAUAUCUGUAGGCCACACACACACACACACACACACACGCACAACCACACACGUACACGUACACACACGCACAACCACACGUACACACACACACACACAACCACACACACACACGCACAACCACACACGUACACGUACACACACACACACACACACAACCACACAGACACACGCACAACCACACACGUACACACACACACACACAACCACACAGACACACGCACAACCACACACGUACACACACACACAACCACACACACACACGCACAACCACACACGUACACACACAUGCACAACCACACGUACACACACACACACAACCACACAGACACACGCACAACCACACACUUACACACACACACACACUUUAUUCAGAGUUCUUCAAAGAUCCUUUAAAGGUUCCUCAAACGACAGAAUGGUUCUUCAGUAGUUGAUGGUUCUUCGUGGAACCACAAAGUCUUUUAAAGAACCGUUAUUCUUCUGUGUGUGUGUGUGUGUCUGUGUGUGUGUGAGUGUGUGUGUCUGUGUGUGUGUGUCUGUGUGUGUGUGUGUGUGUGUGUGUGUGUGUGUGUGUGUGUGUGUGUGUGAGUGUGUGUGUGUGUGUGUGUGUGUGUGUUCACACACUCUUCCCAGCCGGUAUCUCUUCACGAGAUCUUCUCUCUCCUCCGGAGGAGUAAACGUGUCGGCAGGAUUCCUCUCCAUGAAAACAUCCUGCCUCGCUCUGAUUGGCUGAGCCCGGGCUGCGUCUCCUCCUCCUCGACAUUCCCAAGGAAGGAGGAAACCAGUAGUGAUCACCUCGAAGUGGACUCCUCCCUCCUCACGUCGCCUCCUUUCGUUCUCCAUGAUUACAGCUUCCACCACAGCUGCACUGUCUUCACUGGGAGCACGCAAGGCAGCGAGGUCACGAGGACACAAGGUCACGAGGACACAAGGUCACGAGGACACAUGUUCAGAGAGAGAUUCUGACCUCAUCACAUCAACAGCCACGCGUCACGUUCCCAUGGUGACGUGAACAUGAGUCACACAUUCACCUCCUCAGGGGAGCAUCCAACCUCCAGACGCAGAAUCCUGCCUCCUACCUCCUCCUCCUACCUCCUCAUCCUACCUCCUACCUCUUCCUUCUACCUCCUCCUCCUACCUCUUCCUCCUACCUCCUCCUCCUACCUCUUCCUCCUCUUCCUCCUACCUCCUCCUCCUACCUCUUCCUCCUCUUCCUUCUACCUCCUACCUCCUCCUUUUACCUAUUCCUCCUACCCCCUCCACCUACCUCUUACUACUUCUACCUCCUUCUUCAUAUCUUCUUCCUCCUCCUUCUAACUCCUCCCUAAUCAUCCUACCUCCUCCUUUCUAUCUUCUACCUCAUCCUACCUCCUCCUCCUACUCCCUCCUACUUCCUAUCUUCUACCUCAUCCUACCUCCUCCUCCUCUUACCUCCUCCUCUUUUUUCUUCCUACCACCUAUACCUCCUCCCUACUCCUACCUCCUAGUUCUACUUUCUAUCUUCUACCUCCUACCUCCUCCUUCCUAUCUUCUACCUCCUCAUACAUCCUCUUACCUCCUCCUCCCACGCCGGGACGUUGCAGCUGGUUACACGAUGGACGUGUCGUGUGCCUAGCAGCCUUUCCGUGGAGGACGUAGAUGACAUCUACCUAUUCGGAACUAUGAUUACAGGAUUUCUGCUGUUUGGAUUUGGCGUUGCCCUGGUUUAUCGGAAAAUUAAGGAAACGGUGACAGCCGUUAAAAGCCCCCUAAGGCUGCCCGACGAAAUUGGAUCGAUUUGAAAAAUGGGAGGAAAGUGGUGGAAUAGCAGGUGCGCAAAUUGGAUGUAGCUGCUGGCAGACCAAACAAUCCCAAUCUUAUCUGCUUUCGGCUCCCUCAACCAGAACGGUGCCUUGGCCAAGGCCGUUACGGGAACAACAACUCCCCUGAAGAUCGCUGAAGUGAGAACCUCUCUCAUUCCCUUCCCCCUAUCCACAGACACCUGUGGUUGUUUUCUCCCAGGACCUUUCAAGGCUAUCUCCAUGGCAACGACCAUCUUGCGGACUGAGAACUCUGUCUGUUGUGGCCUGGGGGAGGACGACAUACCAGAACACGCACACGAACUUUCAAUAAUACUGAUUGCAUUCACUACCCCCCUCCCCCCAUCCCACGCCUUCGCCUGCUUUUCACCCCCAGUGGGACCGGACGGGGCUGUGGCUGGCGCUGCUAUGUUGGCGCCGGACCGGCUGGCUGCUUGUCGGUGCUGGUUACCUUCUGCCCCCAAUGGAUGGGCUUAGAUCACCCAGUUGUUGGAUUACCUCCCCUCCCCCCUUCCUACUCGUUGCAAGUCAUGUCUAAAAUGUAUGUGCUUAUGUGCUAAGGUGUUUUUUUCCUGCUCCCACACUGUACCCCCUCUCGGGGCAUAGUCGGGGGGUUGGUGUUUUUUCUCGCCUUCUUCCCUCAUGUUAUGCUGUAAUCUUUCAUCCACCCUUUCUUGUAAUUUCGAUGCUUUUGUACCUGUACUCUGGCAAACGACAAAUAAAUAUAUCAAUCAAUCAAUCAAAAAUCCUACCUUAUACCUCCUCCUAACUCCUCCUCCUACAUACUCUUACCUCCUACCUCCUUCUCUUACCUUCUAUCUCCUCCUAACUCCUCCUCCUACCUUAAAACUAACCCAAUGCCAGCAUGUAGAGAGGAAUGUUUUGACUCCUUCCCUUAAGGACACAGACAGCGAGGACGUUGUGUAAAGGAGACGAAGGAAUACACAAGGUGAUAAUUAAAAGUUGGCCAAACCGAC